UUGGAUUAUAUAUUGUAUAAAAUAAAUGUGGUCGUGUUUUCAUUCGUUCACAAUUUAUCAUUUCAUAUCCUUAUACUGAGAACUCUAAACAUCGUCUGAUUUCAUUUUCUGGAUUAUUUUUAUUAAUUGGGAAAGUGCACAAUAUAAUACUUUAAGUAAAUAUAAACCUCAGGUGGUUAUUGUUACGUAACAGCUGCAAGAAACGACCGCAAUUAAUACAUAAGUUGACGCCCGUGGAAAUUUAUGUCAGUUUUAUACAUACAACUCGAUGCAAUGAACACUUGUGUUGUUAUAUUUUCCAUUUUCCAUUUGACCUCAUCAGCUGUACCGAACCAUGCAGAUUGUCAGGGAAACGCAAAAAAGGUAUAAGAAAAAUACCGAGCUCCAAGCUUCUUAAGGAGAAUGAGCAGAAUCUCUAUAGAGGCGACCAUUAAUACUGCUGUUAUAGAAGUUGGAUUUCAAUAUGAUUUUCCAUUGGACAUAAUUAGAUAUAAAUACUUUUGAAACAGUUUAUAUUGUUGUGUUCUUUCCCUAAAAAUCUAUAUAAUAAAAGCUGAUAGUAACCCGCAA